rnacentral:rRNA from 1 species
AGAGUUUGAUCCUGGCUCAGGACGAACGCUGGCGGUGUGCUUCACACAUGCAAGUCGAACGGGGUAGCAAUACCCAGUGGCGGACGGGUGAGUAACACGUGGGAAUCUGCCUUGAGCUGGGGGAUAGCAGACCGAAAGGUCUAUUAAUACCGCAUAUGUGUAUGUCUCGACAGGGGCAUACAUGAAAGGAGCAAUCCGUCUUAAGAUGAGCCCGCGUCCGAUUAGCUAGUUGGUAGGGUAAUGGCCUACCAAGGCGACGAUCGGUAGGUGGUCUGAGAGGAUGAUCACCCACAAUGGGACUGAGACACGGCCCAUACUCCUACGGGAGGCAGCAGUGGGGAAUUUUGUGCAAUGGGCGAAAGCCUGACACAGCGACACCGCGUGAGCGAAGAAGCCCUUUGGGGUGUAAAGCUCUGUCAGCUGGAACGAAACAAAUGACGGUACCAGCAGAGGAAGCAUCGGCUAACUACGUGCCAGCAGCCGCGGUAAGACGUAGGAUGCGAGCGUUGUCCGGAUUUAUUGGGCGUAAAGAGUUCGUAGGUGGUUUGUUAAGUUCGAUGUUAAAGAUCGAGGCUCAACCUCGGGAGUGCAUUGAAUACUGGCAGACUUGAGUGCGGUAGAGGCUAGUGGAAUUCCCAGUGUAGCGGUGAAAUGCGUAGA